GAUGGCCCAGAUCUCACGCGUGCGGACGAUCCAGAUUGAAUCACGCACGGACAGCCUAGAUCACAUCGUGAUGGACGGUCCAGAUUUAUUCCCAUUUUAAUCGCGAUCAGACGGCCCAUAUUAAAUUGUGAAGGACGGCUGAGAUUAAAAGGGAAAGGUUAUAAAUAACCUCACCCACACCUGACCCUAAACCCUAGUCGCUAGUACCCUCACCGGAGAAGAAGAACCAGUCACCAGAGGAGCCGGCCGCCGCCACUCGCCGCCGCACCGAAGGGUUUUUUGACCACCAAACGAGGUAAAUUUUCUCCCUUUGGCUCGUUUUUCGAUGCUGAAUCUGCCUAUGGCCAAAUCGGAGCCAAACGACUAGCUAAUCGGCUAGAAAACAACGCCGAAGUCCAGCAGCGCCGUCGCGGCUUCCCUCGAUUUUUGCCUGCGAUGAGGCCCUUUCUGGUUCCUGUUCGAUGCAAUUUUUACACCACUGUGAUCACCGUCAUUUUCUCUAUAGGUUGACUAGAGCAAAACAUCAAAUCGUGACUCGCACCGGAGAAGCCGCCGCACCCGAGAGCUCCACCGCCGGUAAGUCUUAGUUUUUUGUGAUUUUUUGGUCCACCGAGGGCCGUAGGGUUGUUUUAUCGCAGGAACCAAUGCAAGUUUGGCCGAAUUUGGCUGAAAAUGGCCAACCCGAGGCAGAUUGCCGCCGCGGGCGGCGGUGCCGUCGCUGGAGCACGGUGGAGCCGCCGUGCUGGAAUUCUGAUAUUGGCCAAAAAGGGGCCUUGGGUCUGAUUUGGGGUUUUUGGGACACGUGUAGG
rnacentral:lncRNA from 1 species